AGACAUCUUCAAUUCACCCUCCGUCGGGGAGUGAUAGGAGGGCAUCCGAGGCUCGACCUGAUAAGUAACCUCCAGACUCUAUCAAGAGUAUCUGCUGGCAAAUGGAUGGAGGGUUGCUUGGGAAAGCUCACCAAUCUUAGAAAAUUAAAAAUACUUUUUGAAACAGGAGCGGAUGUUGAGUUAUUCCAUGAGGCGAUUGUCAACCUGAACUGCCUCCAUCAUCUGUCGGUGUUGAUGUCAGUAGAGGCACGUGACAAUGAAGACAGAUACUUAUUUUUGUCGUUACCUAAUCUUUCACAUCUUCUCAAGUUAAGUAAGUUGCAUUUGGGAGGAAAGUUACAGACGUUACCUGAAUUUCCAACAAAUCUCACCAAACUCACCUUGGAAGAGUCCUGGUUAGUGGAAGAUCCAAUGGCGACGUUGGAGAAGCUGAAAAACCUUCGCAUUCUCAGAUUGUCAUCUGAUUCAUAUAUACGAAAGGAAAUGACUUGCUCUGCACAAGGGUUUCCUCGACUCGAAUCCUUAUAUCUUUAUAAAUUAGAUGAAUUAGAGGAGUGGAGAGUUGAUGAAGGAGCUAUGCCAAGUCUUUUACAUUUACAGAUCUAUGCCUGCAACCAAUUGAAGAAGCUUCCAGAAGGAAUGCAACACGUGACUACCCUCAAGAAAUUGGAGUUGUGGUUUAUGCCCUAUGAAUUCAAAGCAAGGGUUCGAGAAGAUGGGGGAGAGGAUUGGCAUAAGAUCCGGCACAUACCCUCCAUCGACAUACACGAUAUAUACUGAGAAGCUAAGCAGUCGGAUUUUAAUUUCUAUCAUUAUGAGAGGGCAACCAUCGACAAUUAGACAGGAGCUUUGACUAAGAUUUUUGGAGCAUCUUUCGUCCAUGGCAGAGUGUAUUAAAUCAAAGUUUGGAUUUCAGAGCUACUAGCCCCACUUGUUUCAUGCAUCAAGACACUUGGACAGAAUGCAUUUGAAGCCUAUACUUCCUGUUUUAUCCAUUAUUAGAAUUUAAAGUUAGGCAUUUUUCUCACAACAGAGAUUGCACUGACCUGCAUAUGCUAAGUGACUAGAUGAAGUGAAGAAUGGUGGAAUGGUGACUAGACAAUGAUGAGAUGUUUGGAUGAUCAUUUGUAUUUGUAACUCAAGGAUUCAUGUACUUUCUGUUUGAGAUCUUUCAAUAAGGAACCAUGCACUAAUAUUCGUUACAUGCUCUGCAUUUUAAUUUGGGGAAAUUGUUCAUUAGUGUUUGACUUAUUUCACUGUAUGCAUUGUUUGCCUGUAAUAUGUUAGUUGAAAACUGAAAUAAGAAGCAAUUUCUUUAUAGUGUA